CCCUGGCUGGCUCAGUCGGUAAAGCAUGUGACUCUUGAUCUCAGGGUUGUGAGUUCAAGCCCCAUGUUGGGAA
rnacentral:tRNA from 1 species